CCUGGACUCACUUUGUAGACCAGGCUGGCCUCGAACUCACAGAGAUCUGCCUGCUUCUGUCUCCUGGGUGCCAGGA
rnacentral:miRNA from 14 species